AAGCCUUUUUUACUUACAUCGCCAUAGGUGAUAGCUUUUUGUUCAGUAUCAUUUUCCUAAAGACAGAAAGGUUAUAAUCACCGUAAUGGGAUAAAGAGUAAGAACACAGAACACACAGGUGAGGUGGGGAUGUGGGGUAGUAGACGAGUUGUCACUAGCUAGGUAUGCGGAUGCCAUUUACCACAGUGAGAGUGGGCCAGAGCCAGACACUUCAGCAAAGUAGCGAACUCUUACCAACAAUGGAUUCCUGAAUAUCUCAUAGAUAGUUGAAAAUGUUGAUUGUUGAAAAUAGUUGAAAACUGCCAUAGUUUGUUUUAAUUUUCCCAACAAACAAGAUUCAGUAGGAGGUCAGCUGAUGGUUUUUAUGAGUUCAAGUCUCUGGACCUUGGGAAUUCCAUUCCAUGGGACUGAAGGAAUUUCAAGGGCUAUUUGACAACCACAGAAAUCUCAGAGGAAUUUUGUUUCGUGGGAAUUAGCUUCGAAAGACAAGAUAUGAGAGAAGUGGUCUGAUUUUCAGAAAGGGGGAAUAGUGGCAAUCAUGGAAACUACAAACGUGUAACUUAGAGACUGUAUCGCUUUAAUAUGCGCCUCAAUUUUACCAAUCAACAGAUGAUUAUAACUUUUUAAAGAACAUAAUAAUUGCUAUAAGCUGAAUUCUUUGUGUCAUUCCCCACCACCCCCAAUUUGUAUAAUCUCCAAUCUCUGCCUAAUCUCCAAUGUGACAGUAUUUGGAGAUGAGGUCUUUAGGUGGCAAUUAGGUCAUGACAGUACAGCCAUCAUGAUGGGAUUAAUGCCCUUAAAAGGAGACAUCAGAGAGCUUUUUCUUUCUCUCUUUCUCCCUUCCCCAUCCCUUUCCUCCAACCAUGUGAAGACAUAAAGAGAAGAUGGAAAUCCAGGAAAAGGGCUCUUACCAGAACCUGAGCAUGCUGGCACUGUGACCUUGAACUUCCCAGCCUCUAGAACUAUGAGAAAUAAAUUUCUGUGGUUUAAGCCACCCAGUCUAUGGUAAUUUGUUACAGCAGUCCGAACUAAGAAAGUAAUCAUUUCAAAUUAUGAGUUUACUCAAAACAAGUCAUACCAAAUUCAUUUCUUUUCCCUUUAUGGUUGGACUAUUAAAUUGUCAGACUAGGAGUUCCCGUUGUGGCACAGUGGAAACGAAUCUGACUAGAAACUACGAGGCCACAGCCAUAGCAACAUGGGAUCUGAACUGCAUUUGCGGCCUACACCACAGCUCCCAGCAACUGGAUCCUUAACCCACAAAGCGAGGCCACGGAGUGAACCUGCAUCCUCUUGAAUACUAGUUCGAUUCAUUUCCACUGCACCACAGUAGGAACUCCCUCUCAGCUUUGUUUUUGGUAAAACUGAUGGGAGAAUGUGGCUGGUCAUGUACCCACAAUCUAUCUCCUAACUAUUCCUAAUCUUCUGAUGCUUACACACUUAAACUUCCCUGUCCAGUCGCUGGCUUAGCUGGACCACUGCGGGCUUCCCUGUAAGGAGUGGCUCAGGGCUUGGUGGAGGAGGAGUGGAGAGACAGAGACUUUAUGUGUCCAGAGCAGAGAGCUGAGAGAGGGCUUUCAAAGAAUUCGGAGAGGACUUGGGCAGGCAUUUUCAGUGCCUUCUCCAAAAUUCACCAGUCACCAAGCAUGGUUGGAGGUAGAGGGAGUGGACUAAAAGUGAUAGAUGCUAUGAUCCUAAUACUUCUGGAACGGCAGAAGUUCUUAUUUUACUGGCCAAGUUAGAAAUACAAGGAAAGAAACAGUGUUUACUUCUAGCAAACAAUAAGGUACGUCAAGUCUGUCCUCUCUUCUUGUAGCUGUUUCAGUCCACUUUUUGCUAUUUGAUUCAUAUGAAGAUGUAGAAGGCACACAUAUCACUUCUGAAGUUGUUACCAAAAUAGGAAGAAUAGCUGACAUGACAAAUGAUGGGACCCCAAUUAAAAAUUAUCUCAACUGCGUGAAACCCAGCCUGGACUCUCCUAGAAACACUUGAAUAACAAUAAAUAUCAAGGUUUUAUUUAGGUUAAAAUUCUUUUGAAAGAAAACUCCAUACACAAUGCAACUGCUCAGAUACAAUGUAGAGACAGACAGCUUUGACAUAAAUUUAUAUAAAAAUGUUCUAGGGGUUUUAGUUCAUCUGAACUUAAUAUGACAACUAUUAUGUGUCUGCUAAAAAUGUUAAUGCAGUCUCCAGCUGCAUGUGUUCAAUAAAUGAUAGCUUAGAGUAUAUUCCAUGGCAGGUACUGUGCUGGGUCCUGGGAGCUGAUGGUAGCACAGUGUCUGGAAUAAUCCAUCCAGUAAAGAGCACAAACUCUUUUUCUUUUUGUCUCCUUAGGGCUGCACCAGAUGCGUAUGGAAGUUCCUAGGCUAGGGGUCGAACAGGAGCUGCAGCUGCCGACCUAUGCCACAGCCACGGCAAUGCCAGAUCAUGUAACCCACUGAGAGAGGCCAGGAAUCAAAACUGCAUCCUCAUGGAUACUACUCAGAUUCUUAACCCACUGAGCCACAAUGGGAACUCCGGUGAAGGGCACAUACUUGAAGAGCAGCACUAAUGGAUUAAAAUGGAGCAUUGGUGGGUGGACACUUAGUCCUAUUUUUUUAGUUUUCCAUGAGGCAACUUCCAACCAUGGGAAUAAUAUUUGAGAAUUUUAUUGUUAAGAAUUAUUUUACUUAGAAAUAACAGAAAUACUGGCACAAAUAGCUUGAACAAUAAGGAAAUUAGUGCCUUUCAUCAUCAUCAUCAUCAUCAUCAUAAAUUCAAAGGUAGCAAAACAUGUUUUAAUUGGAGUUAGGGAUCUAUUUCUCUGCUCUGCUUUGAUCUCUUCCAGCCUCUAGGUAGAGGUUUUUUCUUCAGACUGUCUCCUCUUAUGGUUAGAUGAUGGCUACCAUCAGUCUUGGGACAAAAUGCUUCCUCCUUAGAAAAUCUUUCCUCUAACUAGUGAAGAAAAGUUCUCACCUUCAUCCUAGUUUUUUUUUUAAUUACUUUUUAAAAUGAUUUUAAUUUUUUUCCAUUAUAAUUGGUUUACAGUGUUCUGUCAAUUAUCUACUAUGCAGCAAGAUGACCCAGUCACACAUACAUAUAUACAUUCUUUUUCUCACAUUAUCCUCCAUCAUGUUCCAUCAUAAGUGACUAGAUAUAAUUCCCAGUUCUAUACAGCAGGAUCCCAUUGCUUAUCCAUUCCAAAAGCAAUAGUUUGCGUCUAUUAACCCCAAAUUCCUAGUCCAUCCCACUCCUUCCCCACACCCCCUUCAACCACAAGUCUGUCUCCAAGUCCAUGAUUUUCAUUUCUGUGGAAAAGUUUAUUUGUGCCAUAUAUGAGAUUCCAAAUAUAAGUGAUAUCAUAUGGUAUUUGUCUUUUUCUUUUUUUUCUUUUCUUUUCUUUCUUUCUUUCUUUUUUUUUUUUUUUUUUUUUUUUUUUUUCUUUUUUUUUUUUUUUUUUUUUUUUUUUGCUUUUUAGGGACAUACCUGAAGCAUAUGGAGGUUCCCAGGCUAGGGGUCUUAUCAGAGCUGCAGCUGCUGCCUAUGUCACAGACACAGCAACACCAGAUCUGAGCAGCAUAUGAGACCUAUACCACAGCUCAUGGCCAUGCUGGGUCCUUAACCCACUGAGUGAGGCCAGGGAUCAAACCCAUAACCUCAUGGUUUCUAGUCAGAUUCGUUUCUGCUGUGCCACCAUGGGAACUCCUGUCUUUCUCUUUCUGACUUAUUUCACUUAGUAUGAGAGUCUCUAAUUCCAUCCAU
rnacentral:lncRNA from 1 species